rnacentral:rRNA from 1 species
GUAGUAAUUCUAGAGCUAAUACAUGUCAUGUCCGCGAUGACUGCAAAGAAAUCGCGUGCUAACUAGAUUUAAACCAACCUCGAAAGAGAAUAUUGGUGAUUCAUAGUUAUCGAACGAACCGCAUACUGUAAAGUGGCGGUGAUUCAAUCAAGUUUCUGCCCUAUCAGCUUCCGAUGGUAGUGUAUUGGACUACCAUGGCGUUAACGGGUAACGGAGGGUCAGGGCCCGACACCGGAGACGUAGCCUGAGAGAUGGCUUCGACAUCCAAGGAAGGCAGCAGGCGCGAAAACUACCCAAUCCCGAUACGGGGAGGUGGUGACAACAAAUACUAAAGAGGUGCCUUCGGGUACUUCUAUUGGAAUGAGUACAAUUUAAAUCCAUUAACAAGGAUCAACUGGAGGGCAAGUCUGGUGCCAGCAGCCGCGGUAAUUCCAGCUCCAGGAAGUAUUGUUAAAGUUGUUACAGUUAAAAAGCUCGUAGUUGAAUGUCUGGGAUGUAUUUUGGUUCUCUUAAGGUGGCCUUGGGCGAAAGUUUAAGGUUUAUUUUAAUUGUUACCGCAUCCCAAUCCAAUAUGGUAGAGAUGAUUAAGAUUGUUUACUCAAUUUUAGUCUAUUAACUCUACCUCCUUCACUGUGAACAAACUAGAGUGUUUAAAAGCAGGCUCUCUGGCUUGAAUAAUCAAGCAUGGAAUGAUGA